GUGCAUAUCAGUAGACCUCACCUUGCUAUAUCUUGGCUUGGUGAGGGGGACAGCAUAUGCUAGAGGUAAUAUGGAGUGCUGUCAGAUAACAGCCGACAGAAUAGGUGGUUUGGCUGAACUGUCAUACUCCUACAUAG
ensembl:snoRNA